UCUUUUCCUUUUUUUCCCUCCUCCUCUUUCCUCCUUCUUUCUCCCGCGUUGUCCGGCUUUCCUGGGUGUCCCGGGUGCGUAGGCGGCUUUGCAAGUCAGAUGUGAAAUCUAUGGGCUCAACCCAUAAACUGCAUUUGAAACUGUAGAGCUUGAGUGAAGUAGAGGCAGGCGGAAUUCCCCGUGUAGCGGUGAAAUGCGUAGAGAUGGGGAGGAACACCAGGGGCGAAGGCGGCCGGCGGGGCGGGAAAGGAAGAGGAGGAAAGAAAGAGGGGGGAGAAAACAGG
rnacentral:rRNA from 1 species